AAAUGUUACAAAGUGUGAUGACGACUGGUUCAAAUAUAGAGAUUCCUGUUACUUUGUGAUCUCAAAAAAAAUUGGUUUCAAAUCAGCAGAGGACGAAUGUAGACAACUGAAUGCACAUGUAGUUCGUUUGGAAACAAAAAAAGAAAAUGAGUUUCUGAAAUCUUAUAUGGACAAUCAUGAUAUAAAAACAUACUGGAUUGGAAUUACUGACGUCGAAAAAGAAGGAGUGUGGAAGUUAUCAGGUACAGACAGAAUUGUACAAUAUACAGACUGGAAAGGCGAUGAACCAAAUAAUGUAGGAGGAAAUGAAGAUUGGUCUCACUCAAUGGUUCAGUUGGGUGGAUGUACCUUGCGAAAGAAGUUACCCAGCUAUUUGUGAGAGACAGAGAGAAAGAGAAUAAAUAAUAAAACAUUUGGAAUGUUUAUCCUAUUUGUGUAAAAAAAAACUCAUGAAGUUUCUUCUUUUUUGUUAGUUCAUGUUAAUACUAAGUAGCAUAUUGCUUCUACCUAGAGUAAUAUCAUAAGAUUUACAAUGCCAAUCAUGAAGAUAUUUAACGUAUCUAUGUUCAUAACCGUUAAAAGUAUGUUUGCAUUUGAAACGAAACUUAAA